rnacentral:tmRNA from 1 species
GGGGGUGCCCUGGUUUCGACAGGAUAUAUCCUUGCUAUAACUGCAGUGGUUUGGUAGACCUUAAUACUUCUAGGUUUGAUAAAAUGCAAACAAAAAUAAAAAUGAAUUUGAAAUGCCAGCAUUCAUGAUCAAUAAUGCAUCAGCUGGAGUUGCUUUAGCAGCUUAAUUAAACAAUAGUUUAAUAGCAUUCAACACUAUUCGAUGUUCUUGUACUUCAUUGUGUAGUGCCUUACCUAGUACAAUAGAGUGAACUAAUUUGGUGAUAAACUCACUCGAAAUUAAACACCAACACUAAAAACGAUUUUUUGUUAACUUCUGUAGUUUCUAGUGUAUAUAAAAGUUAACUAAACUGUAGACGUUAUGGUUAGGAGUAUUUUGGACGCGGGUUCGAUUCCCGCCAUCUCCACCA